rnacentral:rRNA from 1 species
UCAAGCAGUCCAAAAUAUUAGUCAAUGCUCGAAAGAGUGAACUAGCUAACUGAAAUCAAUUAUAAUAAUUGAUAACAUAAGGGAAAAUAAUGAUAUUACCUUAUUAUUAGUGUCGUCCAAAUCUGGUGCCAGAAGACUCGGUAAGGCCAGAGACACAAACGUUAAUCGUCUUAAUCAGGCGUAAAGGGUUUGUAGGCGGCUUUAAAAUUUACUUAAAUAUAAAAAUAAGUAAAGAAUAAAAGCUAGAAUCAAAUAGAGGAUAUAUGAAAUAAUGCUUAGAGUAGGUCUGAUAUCCUUAGAUACUAAGUAGAAUAUUAAAGGCGAAAGCUUUUUUCCAUUAAUGAUUGACGCUCAGAAACGAAGGUGAGGAUAGGAAAUAGGAUUAGAUACCCAGAAUACCCCUCUCUGUCAACGAUGAAUGGUAGUUAUUAGUACAAAUUUAUUAAUGGCAAUGUUAACACGAUAACCAUUCCGCCUUGUGAGUACAACUGCAAAGUUGAAAACAAAAAAAUUAGUCGGUUUCGGAGCAAACGAAGUGAAGCAUGUUAUUUAAUUCGAUAAUCCGCAA